CAUUUUCAAGGCAGCAGGUGGACUUUCUUUUUGAAGUUAAACCACCUUUAAAUGUUUUACAGUGUAGGAGAUCGAGGUGAAUCAGGGAUUCGAGACCUUCAUGGUCCUGUUGCGUUUCCAUAACUUUCUCCAUAAUCUGCUAAUGUCAAAACAGCAGAAUUUCACCUUUUAAUAAGAAAUUGAAUUAAUAAGUUUGUUCAUGUGAUAAUUAAAAAUCACGAUUCUUCAACUACUUCCUGUCAUCGUCUUUGUGGUUUACGCCAGUGGCAACAUCCGGUUGUUGGUCAUGUGACUCGUGUUUCUAUUGUAACUAAUUUAGAUACAGCC